AUUCUUCCUCGUCACCUCUGUGUUCAUGUACAGAUAUGUUGUGGACGGUUGCAAAUAUGAAAAAUAAUUUUAAUUAAACUGAAGUUUCACAAAUUUAAUCCCAUCUUAUAAAUAAACACCAUGCAUUCUUUCAGAGACAUUUUUGUUUGUUGCAUGAUCUACAAGAACAAAUGACCAAUGUCCCUUUUUUUUCUUUUUUCAACAGACCAAUUUUUGUUUAAAAAGUAGCCACUUCCCCACUUAAAGGGCUACACAAAACGUUGUCGUAAAUAAGGUCUCAGAACCGUUUUUCCUUUGAGGUUUCCUCCUUCUAACAGACUCUCACCACACUUUCCCUGGGCAAGAGCUCCCUUCCCGCCCACAGCAGCAGGUCCACCACAUCUGGAUCAAACCAGUCUUAAGCAAUUGCCCCACGUGCUCACAGGAAACCAGACACAUACUCCCAACAGUCUUUGCCUUGGACAUCUUUAUAUCAUGCUUUCAAAGACAGAUGGGUAAUCAACGGGCCUCCUCUCUUUAUGAACUUGAUUGAAUGAUCUACAACUUGUUUUCCUAUUUGUGGUUGAGAUUUUUCAUGGUCCAUUUAGAUUCUUUAUACUCUUAUACUUUAUACUCUUAAUACUUUAUCCUCUUUGUGCUUUACACUCUUUUGCUCAAUGUACUUAGUUAAAAAUUAAAUAAUUAAUUCAACAACUAUUUAUUGAUGUGUGCCACGGUCUGUGAUAAACUUGAAAAACACAAAGGUGAAUAAAAUGAGAUUUUACCAUGUAAUAGAGGAGGACAGACACUUAAAGAAGGGAGUUUAUUAAAUAUGUUAAAGAUGCUAUUAUAGAAUUAUGUCUGUUGUGAGUGGGUCCACAAAGAAAGGAGUGAUCAUUUUAUCAAGGACUUGGGAUAGUUAGAGAAAGCUUCAUAGAGAUGAUUAGGACCAAUUGAAUUCUAGUUCCCAGGUCUUCACUACUUCUCCAUAACAGAAUUAGGCAUCCACACCAGUUUCCGUGAGACGUUACUGUGACUCUGACUGUUGAAGAGGCAGAGUAUACUUUUCCAACCCAUUGACUUUGUGCUUGGCCAUGUGACUUGCAUGGGGCAACAGAAUGUUAAAGAGCUUUAAAUGUGCUUUGGUGAUUGACUGCUGCUCUUGACCUACCAUCCACCAGAAGAAAAAUAGGCCGUGGGUAGCCCUAGGUCCCAUAAUGAGAGAUACGAGGAGCAAAUAUAAACCUGACCCACAGCCUCACAGAGCUCCCUUGGCUGACCUGCAAACCUGUGAGCAUGAAAUUGUAACCACUAGAUCUUAAGUUAACAUGAGGGAAGCCAUCUUAGGGAAAAGAAGCAAUAUUGUAACCAUGACCCUGACUCACUAGUCUCUGUGAAUACAUUCCAACCUGCAGGUAGCCUAGAUGAUUAAGCACCUUUUGCUUUUACAAAAUACACGAUCUGCUAAUUCUAUGAGUCUUGCUUACAUAUAUCUCCCAGCUGUGGUAAGACAGCUUUGUUCUCUGAGUUCCCCAGGAACACUACGACCUCCAGAAAGAAAAUUGCUGCAUUGGUACCCAUCACGAAUGACAGAAGAAAGAGAUAAUGUGGUGCCUUGAAUUUCAUCACACCAGAUAAUCGAUUUCCCCAACUCCCCGCCUUCCCCGCCCAUUUCCCCUCUACAACUGCCUCAGGAGUCUUAUGAUUUUAAGAUGGUUCUUCAGGGCACUAGUCCAUCAUCUUCCGAUUAUGCUGGCUAAUCAUAUCAAUUUGCCUUUCUCAACCACCGGAUUGUUUGCAAUUGAUUGGCACCAGAUUGUGGCAAGCAGAACGAGCCCCUUUUUGCUCUCUUACAAGAUAAGUGAUUAUCAUUGUGGUCCACCAAAACUGGGGGGGCUUAUUUACUACCUAGCCUAUAGUAAUUGAAACCUCACUAAUGCAAUGAUGCUUGAGCGAAGCAAGGAAGACAUAUGUAACGGGAGCAUGGGAUAUGAAGGGUAUUCCAAGCAAGAAGAACAGCAUGAGCAAGUUGCUCCAGGUCCAAAAAGCUUUGCUGUGCACAAAGUUGUUCAAUAGAUGGUAAUGUUGGGUAUGAGCGGGCAUAGGAUUAGACUGGAAUAAUCAGGAACCAGAGAGUCAUAGAAAAGUUUACCGCCACGCUGUGAGGGUUUAGCCUUUAUCCUAUUGCUAUUAAGAACUCACUGGAAUAGUUGAAGCAGAUAAGAGGUACAGUUAGACGUGCAUUUUAGAAAGAAGAAUUUAGCAGCAAUGUGGGGGACAGUUUGGAGCCAUGCCAGAGCUGAGGAGAUAGUCAGGAUACCAGUGAGUAACGCUGAGGAUGGAGAGCAGGCUCCAGACAGCUUAGGGAGCUAGGAUCAUCAUCAUUUUUCACAAAAUCAACAUUCUACAGUACCUUUCAAAAUGAGCCCAAGGAAAAUUCUCAAAAGGUCAAAUUUACUGAAUUUUCAGUAAAGAGAUAAAUAGCUGUACAAGCUAAUAUGGACUAAAUGCCAAAUGGGGGCAAUAGAUAAUUUGGACCACAGAAUUUCAGAAAGAAAGGUAGGCUUAAAGUUAGGGAAAGUGAUUCUCUUUAGUUUAACUUUGUGAGUUUGUGAAUGGUGUAGUUGAAAAUGUUUCCCUGUUUUUAUUUCAGAGGAAAAUUUGUGGUCCAGCCUUAGGCAGUAUGUUGAACUUUAUGGCAAGCAUUUUACGAAUAUAAACUUUAUCAUGGCUCCAUUUUAUAAUGUGAUUAUUGUUUUUUCUUUGUUCUUUCUUACAAAAAUCCAAUUUAGUUAUUUAAAUGUAUUAGAUCAGAAGCCUGUGAUUCAAAUUCUGAUGCUGCUAUUUAUUAGCUGAAUGACCUCAGAUAAGUUAUUUAACUGUUCUGAGUUUCCUCAUUUGCUGAAAUUUAACCUAACACAAUUUUACAAGAAUUUAUAUGUAGUGCUUAGCACAGUAAGUAUAGUUUAAUCUAAAACCCCUAGUAGGGAUUUUCUUAGUCCGGACUCCUGUCUCGAGAUUCAGCUAAAAGCUCAGAGUUGAGGACAGGAGGCGAUAAGUGUCCCAUGUUCAAAAAGUAGGGGCUAGAGGGCUCACUGAGGGCAGUACAAUUCCCCGCUGGGGCAUUUCUGGAAAUAUGAGGGGGUAAUUUUGGCCGUCACCAGGAUGAGGGGGUGGGAGUGCUGUCUCUGACAUUUAGUGGGAGGAGGUGGGGAUACUUGACAUCUGCAAUGCUCAGGACAGAGAAGCGUCCCACUUCCCCUACAGCCUUCAAAUGUCUCAUUGGUGAAAAACCUCUUUAUAAAUCUCCGAACCCAGACCUUAACUCCAUUAUACAUGUAAAUACCCAGUACUUUUGGCGCCAUCUUAACAUGCUCUAAUUUUUCAGGAAUGCAACUAUUGAGUAAGUAAAGGGAAGAUUGUACUUUGCCCUGUCUGGAAAUCAAGCAAGAGUUUCAGAAAGCUACACAGGAAGCCUCCCAAAGAAACUCACAAAUGUGCUCAGAGGGCCUCUGGUGCCGCCUGCCUCACAGAGGCACCUGCUGUUGGACCACGACUGCACCAAUCACGGGGACCCCUGGAGCUUUGCGUCUUUCCCACCUUCUGACUGCAUCACCCCGCUGAAGUUCUGAAGCCAAGGGAUGGAAGUGCUACUACUAUAAGAUUAUUAUAUUGACUGUAAGAGUGUAAGGUUGAACUUCUGCAUUGGAAUGGACUAGGAAGUUUUAAAGCCUGAAAACGAGUCCUAAUUACCGGAAAGAGGCAUGACUGAAAACUCUGGGACCUCAGAUGAUUUCAGGGGGCAAGUCUGACAAUGGAGAUGUCUGAGGACCACAAGGAGAGAAAAAAGCAGUCAGCUCCUGACUGUUCUCCCUCCAAGAGCCACAAGGGGAUCUUUCCAGACUCUUCGCUGUGAAGACUUGGUGGUAUCCCUGAAGGAAAAAACCAUGAUAAUCACAGGACUGAUAUUUCAUCACAUUCAUAAGGUCCCUGCAUACUCAAAGGGAAGGGAAUUAUACAAGAGCAAGACUUAUUGAGCAUAAUAUUAGAGUUCUGCCUAACACAAUGACAUUUUAGCAAGCUACAUUGAUAGUAGGAAUUCAAGUUUAAAGAACAAUCCAUCUUAUUAUCACUCCACUAGAGUGGCAGCCAGAAAUCCUUGAGUUGUAACCAAACAAAUCCUCUGAGUGUUCAUUUCCCCUUCCGUAACACGCUUAGUCGAACAAAGUUGUUGCAAGGGGUUGUAUUGCUAGUGUAUAUCACAGUGCCAACUGUUCAGUACUUGCAAAUAGUAGUUGUAUCUGAAUUAUCAUGGUAGCUUUGAUUUUCUGUGUGGAAGAAUGACCUCAAGCACUGGCAGCAAGAGAGAAAAUUGGGGAUUUUUUAAAGCACAAGAGAGUGAUGGAUGAGUUCACAUUCUAAAUGAAAAAGCCCAUACACAUAUUUUAAAGGUGUUAAAAACAGUCUAUAAUAAUCAGACAAAUGCAAUUAACCUUCAGUGUUCUCCUAGCAAAAGCUACAUCCUCUUUCAGGUCCCAAAUACAUUUGAUGGAUCAAAGGAUCAAAGCUAUUAUUAGAAAAGACAAAAUAACUUUCUCAACUGAUAGAAAGUUAUAUUCUUUACAGAAACAGGUUAUCUGAAAGAAUGACCAGCAAAUAAUAGCAAAGAAAUUUCUCAAUAAAUAAUGUAAUUAGUAGUGCAAGUGGGUGGCAGAAGCUAGUUUUAUAAGCUACUAAAACACAUAAAGGUAAAAAGCAUAACAUUAGCAACACAAUUGGAGAUCGAGUCACAAAAUUUAUAGUAAGCCCUAAAACAGAAGUAUUUUUUUAAAGGGGAAUUAUAUCUGUCUGGGAGAGAAGAAGAAUUUGGAAAUUUGUACAGUCAACUAGCUCUUGGGAAGAAAAAUCUCAUAUCCUCACCUUACACAAUACAUCAAAAUCAAUUCUCACUUUAUUUAAAUAGUUUAUUUCUACUAUUAAUAGUAACAGAUGCAAUAAUUAUUACUAACUAGGAAACACUGAGCCCUCAAACCCCUGAGAAAGUUACUUGGUUGAUUGUUAACAGCCAUUGGUCCAUGUUCCACAGGUGCUGGUGGUAACCUCUCAAAAGUCCUGUGCUUUGUCUCUUUCUUCUUCUUGCCUGCAGACCAACACGAGGCUAUAAGCCCGGAGAAGUGCUUCUAUUCUGCAGGCUCAAAUUCCUUCCGGGCGUUGAGGGGAGGGUAUAUUUCAUGGGAAGCCUGGCAGAGAGAACUAAAAGAGUCAUUUGACUUUCACCUCCUGCCGUAUCUGUCAAUAGAGUCCUAUCAGUAGUAAAGAUUUGAUUUUGAUUUUAUCUGCCUGACUUCUGCAUCUUUCUUCUAACCAUUACUGAACUUGGGCUGUCAUUGAUUAGGCCUUUCAAAGUCCAGUAAUAACUGUUUGCUCAAACAAACUACGUUUGGGUUACUUAUAUUAUUUUACGUAUUCGUUUCACAAACUUCAGUGACAAAUAUUAUUAGCUCCAUUUUAUAGAAAACUAUAUUGAAGUUGAAAGACUUUAAAUAAUUGCUAAAGGUCACAUAAGUAGUGUAAAAAAUAAAAGGGAAAGAUAAAAAAUUAAAUGAACAUAGAAAUCAUUAUUAGCGAAUUUCUGAAGGGAAAAGAAUUUUAUGAAAUUAAAAGCAAUAGAAAUAUGCCAACUUUUAUCACUAUUGUUCAACAUAGUAAUGGAAGUUCUAGCUACUGCAAUAAGGUUAUAAAAAAAAUAAAGGGGGGGCUGGCCCGGUUCCACUUCGGCAGUCCACGGUUCCCUGGUUCAGAUCCCAGGUAUGGAACUACACAUUUGUUGUCAAGCCAUGCUGUGGCAGGCAUCCCACACAUAAAGUAGAGAAAGAUGGGCACAGAUGUCAGCUCAGGGCCAGUCUUCCUCAGCAAAAACCGAGGAGGAUUGGUGGCAGAUGUUAGCUCAGGGCUAAUCUUCCUCAAAAAAAGACAAGAAAAGAAAGAAAUAGCAUACAAACUGGAAAGGAAAAAAGAAAACUUUCCCUAGUUACAGAUGACAUUAUUGUUUACAUAGAAAAUCCCAAGGAAUCUAUAAAACAACUCCUAUAACUGAUAAGUGAAUUCAGUAAAGUCAUAGGUUACAAGAUCAACACACGAAAAUCAAUCAUAUUUCUAGAUACUAAUAAUGAGCAUGUGGAAACCAAAAUUAGAAAUACAAUGCCGUUUAAAAUUACUCCAAAGAAAAUGAAAUGCUUAAGUAUGUUCUUAACAAAACAUUUUAGGAUUUGUAUGUUGAAAAUUACAAAAGACUGAUGAAAGAAAUUAAAGAAAAUCUAAAUAAAGGAGUGACUUACUAUGUUCAUGGACUUGAAGAUUCAACAUAGUAAAGAUAGCAAUUUUCCCAAAUUAAUCCGUAGAUUUGAUGUAGUUAUUAUCAAAAUUCCAGCAAGUGUUUUUUGCAGACAUAGACAAGUUUAUUCCAAAAUUUAUAUGGAGAGGCACAGAUCCUAGAAUAGCUAAGACAAUCUUGACAGAGAGGAAUAAAGCAGGAAGAGUCGGUAUACCGAUAUGCGGCUAAGGUAAUCGAAAUACUGUGGUAUUGGCAGAGGGAUAGACACACAGAUCAAUGAAACAGAGUAAGGAACCUAGAAAUAGACCCACACAACAAUGCUCGGCCGACUUUUGACAAAGGUGCAAGAACAACCCAAUGGGGGAGAAUAACUUUUUCAACCAAUGGUGCUAGAGCAUUGGAAAUUCAUCAGCAAAAAUUUGAACUUCAGCCUACACCUCACACCCUACACAAAAAUUAACUCAAGAUGUGUUGUCAACCUAAGCGUAAAUGUAAAAUUAUAAAAUGGUUAUAAAAAAUAUACAAGAAUUCUUUUCAGGAUCUAGGACUAGGCAAAGAAUUCUUAGGACUGGCAUCAGAAGCAUCAUGUUUAAAAGGAAAAAGGCAUAAAAACUGAAUCUCAUCAAAAUUAAAAAUGCCGCUUCGGAAAAUAUCAUGUGAAGAGGAUGUAUAAAUAAGCUAAAGACUGGGGGAAAGUAUUUGUAAACCACAUAUUUGACAAAGGACUAGAAUCUAGAAAUAUAAAGGACUCUUAAAGCUCAACAUUAAAAAAUAAAACAAUCCAAUUAGAAAACAGACAAAAGACGUGAAGAGACAUUUCAUCAAAGAGUAUGGACAGAUGGCAAAUAAGCAUAUGAAAAGAUGUCCAACCUCUUUAGCCAUUAGGGAAAUAGAAAUCAAAACCACAAUGAGAUAUCACUCUGCGUCUAUUACAAUGGCUAAAAUAAAAAAUAGUGACGACACCAAAUGCCGAAGAAGAUGAAGAGAACCUGGAUCAGUCAUCCAUUGCUGGCGGGAAUGUAAAAUGGUACAGUCACUUUGGAAAACAGUUUGGCAGUUUCAAAUAAAACUAAACAUGCAUCACACCCAUUAGGAUGGCUAUUAUAUAUUUUUUUUAAAAGCAGAAAACAAGUGUUGGUGAGGACAAGGAGAAAUCGGGAUUCUUAUGUGCUGCUAGUGGGAAUAGAAAUGGUGUGGCUGCUGUGGCAAACAGUGUGGUGGUUCCCCAAAGAAUGAAACUAGAACUACCAUGUGAUCCAGAAAUUCC
rnacentral:lncRNA from 1 species